UACGAAGGGGGCUAGCGUUGCUCGGAAUCACUGGGCGUAAAGGGUGCGUAGGCGGGUCUUUAAGUCAGGGGUGAAAUCCUGGAGCUCAACUCCAGAACUGCCUUUGAUACUGAAGAUCUUGAGUUCGGGAGAGGUGAGUGGAACUGCGAGUGUAGAGGUGAAAUUCGUAGAUAUUCGCAAGAACACCAGUGGCGAAGGCGACUCACUGGCCCGAUACUGACGCUGAGGCACGAAAGCGUGGGGAGCAAACAGG
rnacentral:rRNA from 1 species